AAAGGUCACAAGUUUGAGGCCAUAGCAGAAGUGCUUAUGCUGCGGCCUGUCAGAUUCCAAUGAAUCUGCGAAUGCCAUU
rnacentral:ribozyme from 1 species